UUUCCGUAGGUGAACCUGCGGAAGGAUCAUUACAGAGUUCAUGCCCUUCGGGGUAGAUCUCCACCCGUGUUUAUUUAUACCUUUGUUGCUUUGGCAGGCCGUCAGGCUUCGGCUUGACUAUCGGCUCCGGCUGGUAAGCGCCUGCCAGAGGACCAUUUAAACCCUGCUCACGGUGUAAUCUGAGUACAAACAAAAAUUGAAUCAAAACUUUCAACAACGGAUCUCUUGGUUCUGGCAUCGAUGAAGAACGCAGC
rnacentral:misc_RNA from 1 species